rnacentral:rRNA from 1 species
CGAUAAUCUGCCCUAAGGUUCAGGAUAGUCUCGGGAAACUGAGGGUAAACCUGAAUAUGAGAUAGGUACUGGAACGUCCUCUCUCUUAAAGGUAACGCCUUAGGAUGAGUCGGCGGCUGAUUAGGUUGUUGGUGAGGUAAUGGCUCACCAAGCCUUGGAUCAGUAGGGGGGAUGAGAGUCCUAGCCCCGAGAAGGGCACUGCGACACUGGCCCUAGCCCUAAGGGGUGCAGCGGGCGCGAAAACUCUACACUGCACGAAAGUGUGAUAGGGGAAUCCCAAGUGCUUUGCCUUCGGGUAAAGCUUUUGCCAAGUCUAAAUAGCUUGGCGAAUAAGUGGUGGGUAAGACGGGUGCCAGCCGCCGCGGUAACACCUGCGCCACAAGUGGCGAUCACAAUUAUUGGGUCUAAAGCGUUCGUAGCCGGCUAGGUAAGUCUUUUGUGAAAUUGUUGGUCUUAAGCCAACAGCGUGCAAGGGAAACUACCUUGCUUGAGACCGGGAGGAGACAAUGGUAUUCUAGGGGGAGCGGUAAAAUGUGAGAAUCCCUGGAGGACCACCAGUGGCGAAGGCGAUUGUCUAGAACGGGUCUGACGGUGAGGAACGAAGGCUGGGGGAGCAAAACGGAUUAGAUACCCGAGUAGUCCCAGCAGUAAACGCUGUGAGCUAUGUGUUGCGCUUUCUUAGUGAAUGCGCAGUGCCUAAGCGAAGGUGUUAAGCUCACCACCUGGGGAGUACGGUCGCAAGAUUGAAACUUAAAGGAAUUGGCGGGAGCUCACUACAAGGAGUGAAGAGUGCGGUUU